CCUACGGGAGACAGCAGUGGGGGAUAUUGCACAAUGGGGGGAACCCUGAUGCAGCGACGCCGCGUGGGUGAAGAAGCGCCUCGGCGCGUAAAGCCCUGUCAGCAGGGAAGAAAAUGACGGUACCUGAAGAAGAAGCCCCGGCUAACUACGUGCCAGCAGCCGCGGUCAUACGUAGGGGGCAAGCGUUAUCCGGAUUUACUGGGUGUAAAGGGGGCGCAGACGGCGAUGCAAGCCAGGAGUGAAAGCCCGGGGCCCAACCCCGGGACUGCUCUUGGAACUGCGUGGCUGGAGUGCAGGAGGGGCAGGCGGAAUUCCUGGUGUAGCGGUGAAAUGCGUAGAUAUCAGGAGGAACACCGGUGGCGAAGGCGGCCUGCUGGACUGCAACUGACGUUGAGGCCCGAAAGCGUGGGGAGCAAACAGGAUUAGAUACCCGAGUAGUC
rnacentral:rRNA from 1 species